rnacentral:rRNA from 1 species
GACGGAGGGUGCAAGCGUUGUUCGGAAUCACUGGGCGUAAAGCGCGAGUCGGCGGGUUGAUAAGUCGAAUGUGAAAGCCCGUGGCUCAACCCCGGAAGUGCAUUCGAAACUGUCAGGCUUGAGCACGGGAGAGGGAAGUGGAAUUCCUGGUGUAGAGGUGAAAUUCGUAGAUACCAGGAGGAACACCGGUGGCGAAGGCGGCUUCCUGGACCGAUACUGACGCUGAGUCGCGAAAGCGUGGGGAGCAAACCGG